GGUGUGACCAAAGGCUACACAGUAGAGGUAUGAAUUUGUAUCCCCCACAAUGAAAAUGCAGAAAUAGUGAGUUGAAGUAUACCACCUCCAACCCUAUUUUUUUAGUGAUCAAAAACCACAAUGUCACUGUUACUCAGAACAACAUCACCACUUAGACCCUUGCAUGCCCCUUGAUAUUUUCUACUGGAUAACUAAGCUAUCUCUUGCUCAGAUCAAUCAGUCUUACAAACUUCACCCUUUGACUUCUAAGUCUUUUCAUGCUUUAUAGAAUAUAGGCUGGGCACUUACAUCAUGGGAUGCAUUACAGCUGGUAGCAUGCAAAACCUAGAGGAAGAUUUGAGCAACUCCAUUAACUUGUCUGCAAGAAGAUGGACAGAGCUGAAAACUGGCCUGGAAACUGCUCCAACGUGUUGUCCUGAUUCCUUCCUUCUGUCCACCCUAUUUCUCUUCUUGAAGCAAAGCAGUGUCUCAGUGGAAUCACCAACUGAAACCACUUUUUUCCAUCUAAAAACACAUCUUCGCUACCUUUAUUUUAUAUUUAUGUUUAAAUAGACAGCAAGGAGCACCAACCCUGUGUGAGAAAGGAGUGGUGAAAAGAUCCUUGAGUGCCACAAGGUGUACUCAAUUUGUCUUAAAGGAGCUUUUCCAUUGGCACCAUAGUGGGCCAUUGUCAUCUUACUUACUUUGUACGUGCUGUGAUUUCUAACUGUUCCCAAACAAAAAGCUUCCUGUCCUGCAAGAUGCUGAACUCUUCAUUUAGUAAAGCAAAUAGGAGUUAGCAUACCUCAAAGUUUGGUCAUGUCUCAACACUACUUAAUUUUUUUUCAUAUCGAUGACUGGAAAACUUCUAGGUAGUUUGGCAUCUGAAUGGGUAUUUGUAUUUCAAAAAAAUAAAACAAGGAUGAGCAAAAGCUCCAACAAGAGAACUCUUAAAUAAUACCAAUAUGUUAUAGGUGUCCCCUAAUGUUCAGAACAAAUAAGGAAAAUGAUAAUUGGUGAAGAUCAGCAUCAAGAGCUAACAUUAAAUGUAUUAAAAGUAAGUUUAUUGCUACAAUGGGGGUUUUGAGAGACUAUUAAAGAAUAUCAUUCUCAGUUAAGGACCGAAAUGGAUCUCUAUAUGGAGCUGUGUGUAUGGGUUUUACAAUGAAAAUCAGUUAAGUUGUGAAGCAAACUUAUGCACUAGUUUGUUUUUAUUUGCUACCUGAUAUGCUGCUGCAGAAGCCAGAAGGAUCUACUGAAUCAAAACCCCUCUAUGAACCAAUGUGAACUGAAAGAGGAGUUAGAAAGAAAAUAAGGGGCAAAAUGUAUAUUUUCAACUAAAAAUAACUAAAAUUAUUAACAGCUUGAAUUUAAUAUACCUUUUCUUCCCAGAAAUACUUUCCAUUGCACUAAGGGGAGGUUAUAUAAUAAUCACUGUCUAUAAAGCCAUUCUGUGCACAUAUAUUGUGUAUGUGCAUAUAGUGUAUGCAUAUAGUAAACAGAGCACCAUCUACUGACAUAAAAAGAGCAAGAAAUAUUCCUAAAUCAUCUUCAUUGCAGCUCAUAACUGUUUGAGAUUUUAAUUUUGCUACAUCCCACAAUCUGUCUUCGAUUUAGCUAUGUCUUCCAACUCUAAUUCACACUAUAACAUGUAAAAGGUUUGUGAGGCAAAUAAAAAUAUGUUGGGAAGUAAUCAGGCUAAGGACUUGCUCUGCCUAUGUCUCCAGCCAGCACGUCCUGAAUGUGACGGUUUCUGUGAGUAAUCCCAUCAUGUAUAUGGUAAUAAAAAUAUGAAUUAAAACAAAACAACAUUCUUGCAUUGGCAGGGAAUAAAACAUGCAUCUGCAGAGGCCAUAAUCUCUCAUUCAUUUCUUCAGUCUUCAGAAUUUACAUAAAAUCCCAGCUUGGAUGAAUUCAUCUUUCAUAACAGUAGUCUUAACUUUGCUUGCUUGCAGGAAGAAAUUGUAGAAAGUAAUAUAUUACAUGGAUCACUUUAUCUGCCUCUCCUGUUAAGGGGAGUUUAAAGGUUUUAGUAGAUUGAGAGCUGUUGAUUAGGUCCCUCUGUCCUCACUUCCCCCAACAAGAGGAAGUGGCAUAUUUCACAGUUCCUAUUCUUCUGGCUUCCACCAGACACACUGAAGUUGAAAUUUCAAGACUGCUUGUAGCAAUUUUAUUGCUGUCACCCUCCAGAUAUGAGCCACUGUGCCUAAAGUGGCUCAGAUAGCAAAAGUUUGCUGAUAUGACAUAGCACAGCUAUGUGAGAGCAGUAUAAAGCUCUGUGGAUAAAUGUUCCUAUCAGAGAUUUCCCCCCUCACCGAUUUUAUAGAAUUGAAACGCAGCUCCACAGAAAGAAGGUAUGAGUGACAAAGAUGUCUUGGAAAUAGAAAGGAAGUCAAGUCUUCCUUACUUCUCUGUUCUGUAGUAUAUUAAUUUUUUUUUAAAAAUCAUGUAGUUCAGCCACUACUUACUUGGUGUAUGAAUUAGCAAUGCAAAUAGUGAGAGGGAGAAGAAUAUAUACUGAGUAGCUGCAGGAUUUGUGGAAGCGGUCACGCACACACGAUGACAGUGUCUUGGUUUCACCCACAUUACUCCCUCUUCUCAGUUACAGAGCCCCCAACUCUUUGAGGAGCAGCCAUAUGGUUAGGGAGAGGGGAACUGAUGCUGCACAGACAGGAUUUAGGGUUGGUUUUCUUUCUGUGCUUUCAGACAGAGAUCUCCUCGGGGAUAAGCUGGGCUUAGGUGGUUGCAUAAUUUUGCUAUAUUUCUUAAGUGAUUUUUUGCAAGAUCUUUUUCAAAGGCUUGUACGAUUCUACUUUUCAUAGUUUAUAAUCUUAUGUAUUGGGUUCUGUCUUAAUACUCACAUGAAGAUAAGCUAUUUGCAAAAACUUGAUAUUUAACAAAGACAGUGCUUUACAGCACAGUUGUAUUUUAUUUCAAACAAUUAUACUAAUAUUAAGAGGAUACACACAAAUCCUGCCAGAUUCUUUCUGAAAGAAUAGAAAAAAUUCUGAGCCUCCUGAGCAUUCUCCAAAGGCAUUUAAAAUAUAAAAAAAACCACUUGUGGAUGACCCUUCUGAUUUCCUCUCACAAACAGUAUGUUGAGAGCAUCUGAGAUUUAUGCAAUGCAGGAAUUUGGGAAAAGGGAGAAGAGACUGUUCUUAAAGAGCUGCAACUGUGCUAAAAAUUCCUGUUAUUAUACAUUACCAGUAAGCUCAGAAAUAUAUUAGAAGCAUUCUAAUAGCAUCAGCCAUGAUACUAUCAUGUCAAACUGGAUCUCUAAAAAGGAAAGUAUAAGCAAUAAAUGUACUGGAAGGUCAGAGGAAGAAUUUGGCACUAUCAGAAUAGACUGGAUCUAAACAUUUUUUCUGAUGGGGAAAAAUAGCCAUUAGAAAAAUGAUUGUUGCUAUUUAUGAACAUCAGGUUGCUAAGUGACAUCAUGUGAUGCUCACUGCUUCAUCGGCCACCCACAGUUCUCAAGGAAUAGCAACAGAGGGGGUGAAAGGGGUGAAAUAAAACCAAAAGGCUGAGUUACUAUUAAAAAAAAAAAAAAGGGCCUACAGUUCGAGGCAAAGCGAAAUAAGCUUUCUAAAAAUACCUUAUUUUUUUUCUAGGAGAAUCCAAUAGAAUUAUGCUAAGAACUUUUCACAAAAGCAAUAGAUAGGUGAAUCAUUUGAAAGAGAAAGCCUAAGAAGCGAAACCUCACCCCAACCUGAAAUAUAAGUUAGGGACUUACUUUUAUAUAUACAUAUGUAUAUGUAUAGAUGUGUGCACGUAUGAGUUUGUACUAGAUUUUCCAUGAGAGGAAGACUGCAUACAUUAAGGGCCACAUCAUACAUUUUUUAUUGGCUUCUAAUACUGUCAGACUUCAAUAAUUUGGGCUGAAAUGCUUCAUGCUCCUUUAUUUACUCAUUUUUUUAUUAUUUCAGCCAUGUCAUCCCAGCUGCUUCACACAGAUUAGAUUAUAUAAGAAACCAUUUUACUGAAUCCUUAGCACUUCCUGUGCUUUGCAGUCUCUUGAAGUUCAUGAGGGGAACUGAGACAAGGACAAGAUUGAGAAGGAGAGGAGAAAAAGUCUGGAUCAAACAUCCCAUGAAAGCAUGCAUGAGAAACUGAUGAGCAUGGAUGGAGAAACAGAGAAGAUGAAGAAGAGACAAAAAUGGGAAACUCAGAAAUGGAAAUGGAGAAAACUGUGGAGUGAAAGAAUGGCAACCCUGUGGGAAGAACCUAAGUAUAUGACCACAAGCAAAAAUGUCUUUCAAUUGUGGGUGUUCAUAUACAAUUUGUGAAAUUCAAACUUGUUUUUCCUCAUAAUGUCUCUACUAUAGAGAAAAGUUAUGAUUUUUCAAAGAAAUCUUGGGCAAUUAAAGCAGCGACUGAUGCAUGUCCUUGGCUAUCAUAGAUAUGCAAUAUUAUCAAAAGAGAGUGGGAGAAAUAACUAGUUUAUGUAUUGUCCUGUAACAUAAAUUAGCAAAAUACUUUUAUGGCAUGUAGGAAAAUGUACAGAGAGAUCCAGGGAAAGCAUCUCUUAAAUUACCAGUUUACUUUCUAGUUUUGAUAGAUUAUGUUAUGCUAUUUUCAAUUCCAGUUGUUCCCAGUUCUUUUUCUUAGCCUGCGCUGUUGGGUGAUAUGAAAACUACAAAACAACUGUACAGUCAUGAUUCACUGUGGGUAGCAUAGAGAUACAGCUUUAAAAAAGAAAAGCAAAAGCAAAGAGAACUGGCUAUUUCUGUCUAUUUCUGUGUAUCUUGUUUUCUCAUUCUAUUAGCUGGAUGUUGAUGUUUAAAAAGGAGCAAGAGUUUAUGUUCAGAACCUCUGCUCUCAGAUGCAUACUCCCUCAUUUACAGAAAUUAUCAUGUUAACCCAUUUGAAACAAAAGUCGUUUUAAAGCUCAGUCAUAUGGUACAUGACAGUUGAGAGUUGUGAAAGAGACCACCGAGUGUACACAUAUGGUCAACAUAAGCGUAUCAGGCUUUAGGAUGCUCUUCUUUCCACUAACUGCCAUCGACAAUGUUUUUAAUUUCUAAAUUCCCGUCUGUGGGUGUGGGACAAUGCCGGGGUUUGGAAGUUGUUAACUCACUUGUCUACCAUUGGUUUCUGUGUUGCCAUAGUUAUUAUACUGUCUCCUUGCAUUGGCUAGCCAAAUGGCCAAUCCCCUCUUUGGCCCAGCAGCCCUUAUAAGCUGCGGGAAAUUUGAAUAAAGCUCUUCUUCGCUGCUGGA